GACAUGCUGUUCCUUGUUUUUUCUUAAUGUAUUCCUGUAUUGUUUCACCAUAGCGGAGGCGUAAGCUAUAAGGUUUUCUGACAUGCUGUUCCUUGUUUUUUCUUAAUGUAUUCCUGUAUUGUUUCACCAUAGCGGAGGCGUAAGCUAUAAGGUUUUCUGACAUGCUGUUCCUUGUUUUUUCUUAAUGUAUUCCUGUAUUGUUUCACCAUAGCGGAGGCGUAAGCUAUAAGGUUUUCUGACAUGCUGUUCCUUGUUUUUUCUUAAUGUAUUCCUGUAUUGUUUCACCAUAGCGGAGGCGUAAGCUAUAAGGUUUUCUGACAUGCUGUUCCUUGUUUUUUCUUAAUGUAUUCCUGUAUUGUUUCACCAUAGCGGAGGCGUAAGCUAUAAGGUUUUCUGACAUGCUGUUCCUUGUUUUUUCUUAAUGUAUUCCUGUAUUGUUUCACCAUAGCGGAGGCGUAAGCUAUAAGGUUUUCUGACAUGCUGUUCCUUGUUUUUUCUUAAUGUAUUCCUGUAUUGUUU